GUGUGUUAUUGUGUGUUAAUGCAGGUGUGUUAUUGUGUGUUAAUGCAGGUGUGUUAGUGUGUGUUAAUGCAGGUGUGUUAGUGUGUGUUUACGCAGGUGUGUUAGUGUGUGUUAAUGCAGGUGUGUUAUUGUGUGUUAAUGCAGGUGUGUUAUUGUGUGUUAAUGCAGGUGUGUUAGUGUGUGUUAAUGCAGGUGUAUUAUUGUGUGUUAAUGCAGGUGUGUUAGUGUGUGUUAAUGCAGGUGUGUUAUUGUGUGUUAAUGCAGGUGUGUUAGUGUGUGUUAAUGCAGGUGUGUUAAUGCAGGUGUAUUAUUGUGUGUUAAUGCAGGUGUGUUAGUGUGUGUUAAUGAAGGUGUGUUAAUGCAGGUGUGUUAGUGUGUGUUAAUGAAGGUGUGUUAAUGCAGGUGUGUUAGUGUGUGUUAAUGCAGGUGUGUUAGUGUGUGUUAAUGCAGGUGUAUUAUUGUGUGUUAAUGCGGGUGUGUUAGUGUGUGUUAAUGCAGGUGUAUUAUUGUGUGUUAAUGCGGGUGUGUUAGUGUGUGUUAAUGCAGGUGUGUUAGUGUGUUAAUGCAGGUGUAUUAGUGUGUGUUAAUGCAGGUGUAUUAGUGUGUGUUAAUGCAGGUGUGUUAGUGUGUGUUAAUGCAGGUGUAUUAUUGUGUGUUAAUGCAGGUGUAUUAUUGUGUGUUAAUGCAGGUGUGUUAGUGUGUGUUAAUGCAGGUGUGUUAGUGUGUGUUAAUGCAGGUGUGUUA
ensembl:lncRNA